GAUGAAGAACGUAGCGAAAUGCGAUACGUAAUGUGAAUUGCAGAAUUCAGUGAAUCAUCGAAUCUUUGAACGCAUAUUGCGCUCUCUGGUAUUCCGGAGAGCAUGCUUGUUUGAGUAUCAGUAAACACCUCAACUCCCUUUUCUUUUUUGAAAUGGGAGCUGGACUUGAGUGAUCCCAACACUUUUCUCACUGGAAAGUGGCGGGUCACUUGACAUGCAGGUGCAGCUGGACUUUUCUCUGAGCUAUAAGCAUAUCUAUUUAGUCUGCCUAAAAAACAGAUUAUUACCUUUGCUGCAGCUAACAUAAAGGAGAUGAGUUCUUGUGCUGACUGAUGCAGGAUUCACAGAGACAGCUUUGCGGCUGACUUUGUAAACUCGAUCUCAAAUCAAGUAAGACUACCCGCUGAACUUAAGCAUAUCAAUAAGCGGAGGA
rnacentral:misc_RNA from 1 species